AGCAGUCGCCACGGGAAUACGAAGGGGGCUAGCGUUGUUCGGAAUUACUGGGCGUAAAGGGCGCGUAGGCGGCCAUUCAAGUUAGAUGUGAAAGCCCUGGGCUCAACCUAGGAAUUGCAUUUGAUACUGUUUGGCUUGAGUUCGGGAGAGGUGAGUGGAAUUCCCAGUGUAGAGGUGAAAUUCGUAGAUAUUGGGAAGAACACCAGUGGCGAAGGCGGCUCACUGGACCGACACUGACGCUGAGGCGCGAAAGCGUGGGGAGCAAACAGGAUUAGAUACCCCGGUAGUCCCUGUCUCUUAUAC
rnacentral:rRNA from 1 species